rnacentral:lncRNA from 1 species
UGAACGUCGUUGAUGUUGUUACCUCGUUAGUAUUGUUGUUAUUAUGGUUUUUUAGACUUAUACAUUUCAUUUUUUUUGGUUGUGUACUAUUUUUAUUUUAUUUUCAAAAGCCAUAGGCGACUAUAGAUCAUAGUUGGAUGAAAGAUAAUAUAUUAAGUAAAGAGUAUGAGGAUGAAGUGAUUCAAUUUCUUGAAUUGGCAGAAAAAAAUAUUCCUAACGAUAAUGGAAUU